rnacentral:rRNA from 1 species
UGGGGAAUAUUGGACAAUGGGCGCAAGCCUGAUCCAGCCAUGCCGCGUGGGUGAUGAAGGCCCUAGGGUUGUAAAGCCCUUUCGGCGGGGAAGAUAAUGACGGUACCCGCAGAAGAAGCCCCGGCUAACUUCGUGCCAGCAGCCGCGGUAAUACGAAGGGGGCUAGCGUUGCUCGGAAUUACUGGGCGUAAAGCGCACGUAGGCGGCUUCUUAAGUCGGUGGUGAAAUCCUGGAGCUCAACUCCAGAACUGCCUUCGAUACUGGGAAGCUCGAGUCCGGGAGAGGUGAGUGGAACUGCGAGUGUAGAGGUGAAAUUCGUAGAUAUUCGCAAGAACACCAGUGGCGAAGGCGGCUCACUGGCCCGGUACUGACGCUGAGGUGCGAAAGCGUGGGGAGCAAACA